rnacentral:tRNA from 1 species
GUCUCUGUGGCGCAAUCGGCUAGCGCGUUCGGCUGUUAACCGAAAGGUUGGUGGUUCGAGCCCACCUGGGGACG